rnacentral:rRNA from 1 species
UACAGAGGUCUCAAGCGUUGUUCGGAUUCAUUGGGCGUAAAGGGUGCGUAGGCGGCGCGGUAAGUCGGGUGUGAAAUCUUGGAGCUUAACUCCGAAACUGCAUUCGAUACUGCCGUGCUUGAGGACUGGAGAGGAGACUGGAAUUUACGGUGUAGCGGUGAAAUGCGUAGAUAUCGUAAGGAAGACCAGUGGCGAAGGCGGGUCUCUGGACAGUUCCUGACGUGAGGCACGAAGGCCAGGGGAGCAAACGGG